rnacentral:lncRNA from 1 species
AUGUGCAACUUGCAGAAGUCUGCUGUCAUAGAAUCCCAGAGCCAGCAACGUCCCUGGAGGUCACUGAGACUGCAUGGACAUGCUGCACACAAACAGGGUCAAGAUGGUCACAUCUGGCCAUUGCAGCUCAUUUAUACAGCUGGGAUCCAGAAACAUCGGUUUCACUGCGCGUGCUGUGCCAAGCACCCCACCGAGCCCUGGCCUCAAGGAGAUGUGAAGGGCUCCAUCCACAGCGCUGGAUUCUCCACACCCAGGCUGCUCAUGGGUGGACCAGAUGCUGUCCAAGAGGGUGUGAGGAUUAAGGUGGUACGAGGAAGGCAUCUAGCACUGUUCUGAGAAGAGAGCCAUCCCUGAGGGCUGAGACUAUACAGGAAAUUCUUCCCAGGAAGGGGCCACUGGAGCUGAGCCUUGAAAAAGGGAAAAAUGACAUAUGCAGAAAGCUGGAGGCAGGGAAUUCUCAGCAGGAGGUGAGGAACAAUUGGACACAGAGAGGGAAAUGCACAGAAAGUUUUUGCAGAGCAGCAAGAGAAAUAAUCUGGUCAUUAGCACUGAAGGUGAGUGGUUGGAAUUGGUUUUCCGAUCCAGGGAGCAGAUUUGCAGGGCUGAGUAUGAGAGCCAGGCCCUUGCUCAGUCGUCCAGUGCACCCGCCCAUGGGCACAGUGGCCACCAGGUUUGGCUGAGGUCUUAGGCUCUGGAACAGAGUCCAGUCAUGUGCUCACUGGGACUCUUGACUUCUCUCCCACCCUCAGUUGAUUCCCAGAAUGUGGCAGUCACCACCUAGAAAAGGACGAACCAUCAUACUUUCAAACAGUAAAUGAGGAUAUUAACUAAUGUCGCGUGGUGGAAAGAGCCUUGGAAUUGGAACCUAGUUCUGCCCCCUUUAUUUAGCUUUUUGACCUUUCCCAAACCACUUAAUUUCUCUAAGUCAUAGUCUCCCCAUUUGUAAAAUGGAGACAACAUUAAAUUCUCCCCAGGACUGCUGGAAGAAUUCAAUGACAUAAUGUAGAAAAAGCUAUAUUUCCAUCCCCUCUGCCUCCACCCUUCUGUGGCCAUUUACACUCUGUAAGUAGAUUGUGAAGCUUUUUGGAUAUCCUGUGAUUGUCAGUCAAAGAAGCGAUGCCAGAGAAGGCAUCUGAAGAGCGGGUUUCCUCCGGAUUAAAACUAGCCAGCAAAAUAGGCUUCUCAGUCCAAUAUCCUUCCUGCUUGGUGAGAGAUCCAAAAGCAACGUGCUCAGUCUCCAAGGCAACAGCAGAUGCUUGUAGCAACAGAAGGGAGAGGGUCAGACACUUUCAAACAGCAAACAAGGUCAAAAAGCUCAAUUUGGCCAGUAAAUACCGACCUCUCACAAACAUUUUUAAAGCCCCAAGUGUAAGAUGAGCUCAUUUUCAUAAACUCUGCUUCAGAUGUAGUUUCUCCUGUCUGGGUAGCCAGGCUGAGUGCACCAAGAACUUACAGAACGAUCGAAUCUGUGAUCUUUAAGGAGCAAAUACGCUGUGCCUUUAGAUGGCAUAUUUUUAGUCCGUUAGCCUCUGUUCGAAUAUUUCAGUGAAUUCUCACUGCACAACGUUUCAGUCCAACUCCAGCUCUGUGGGUUGCCAAGGUGAAAGUGUGCAUGAUGAAUUCUGUUCAUAAACACACUAGAUAAAAGGGGGAAUAAAGCUGGCGUUUUAGAUGCUGUGACUUCA